rnacentral:rRNA from 1 species
GAUGAACGCUAGCGGCAGGCUUAACACAUGCAAGUCGAGGGGUAUGCUUCUUCGGAAGCAGAGACCGGCGCACGGGUGCGUAACGCGUAUGCAAUCUACCUUUUACAGAGGGAUAGCCCAGAGAAAUUUGGAUUAAUACCUCAUAGUAUUAUAGAAUGGCAUCAUUUUAUAAUUAAAGUCACAACGGUAAAGAUGAGCAUGCGUCCCAUUAGCUAGUUGGAAGGUAACGGCUUACCAAGGCUACGAUGGGUAGGGGUCCUGAGAGGGAGAUCCCCCACACUGGUACUGAGACACGGACCAGACUCCUACGGGAGGCAGCAGUGAGGAAUAUUGGACAAUGGGCGCAAGCCUGAUCCAGCCAUGCCGCGUGCAGGAUGACGGUCCUAUGGAUUGUAAACUGCCUUUAUACGAGAAGAAACACUCCUUCGUGAAGGAGCUUGACGGUAUCGUAAGAAUAAGGAUCGGCUAACU